UGCGGGGUAGAGCAGCCCUGUAGCUCGCAAGUCUCAUAACCUUGAGGUCGCUGGUUCAAAUCCAGCCCCCGCAACCA
rnacentral:tRNA from 1 species